AUGUGUCGCUUGCUGUUGUGGCUGGUCUCCAGCAAUCAUCUUGUAGGUUCAGGAAUUAUCUUUGCAGGUUCUCCAGACACAACAAUAAUCUUCAGACUCACACCACUAGUUGAACAGCAGCAGCAGCAGAAGCGGGCGGGGCAGACUCACCAGCACCAGUACGAGCAGAGUCGGGGCAAGGGAAAGGGAAGAAGCAUCAUCAGAGGUCCACGUCGGCAUCGCCCACCGGCAGUAGCAACAUCAGAGGCAGGAGUGGCCGGAAUUGUCCGCGGCGCCGGCGGCCGAAGCGGACGAAGUCGGAGGCGCAGGUUUGUGGCAGUGGGCGGCGAAGGUGGUUGCGCAGGUGGGAUACCGCGGGCAGCGCAGGUGGGCGACCGUUGCAGCGAGAUUCAACGGCGCUGGCGGCGCAGCUCGAGGCGGGCACCGGCGCAGGUUGCCUUCGCAGCGGGCGCCGCAGGUGGAAGCGUCGGCGCACGUCCAGGCGGGCUGCAGGCGGCGGCACUGGUGUUGGUCGCGCGCUGGGCGGCGCUGGUGUUCGUCGCGGCGCAGGUCCAGGCGGGCGGCGGCGCAGGUGGGAAGCCGAGGAUGGCUGCGAGGCGCGGGCGACUGGGGAGCACGAAGGAAGAAGAUGGAGUUAUUCGUGACGGGUUUAAAACUCUGAGGGUCUUUUUGCAAAAAAGUAAAUACACUGUGCUGAGGACAACUUUUCUUGGACGGAGGGAGUACAUAUGUGUAUUGUAA
rnacentral:rRNA from 1 species